rnacentral:RNase_P_RNA from 1 species
GGGGGCAAGGAAGCGAUAGCUGUUUUGCGUUUUGCGCAAAAUAGAGGAAGGUCCGGACACUCAUAAAAACAAAUACGGGUUAACGGCCCGCCAUGGUAACAUGAGAGGUGCGAUCAGUGACGCUUUGAUUUGAAAAAAUCAAAGAAGCCCUAUCCCGACGUAAAGGCUUAAUUCCGCCAUAGGGAUAACAAAGUGGAAGUGAAACGGCUAAAUCUUUAUUGGGUGCAAGGCCGAACCGAGCAUUCAAAGUGUUGAGUGCUCGGAGUGCCGCUAUUGUCCUGAGUUUAUCGAAGGACUGGAGCUUGCGAGCAAUCGCAAGCCAAGAUAAAUUAUCGCUUAGACACAGAAUCCGGCCUAUCACUUGCCCCCACGC